rnacentral:snRNA from 1 species
AUAGUUACCUGGCAGGGGAGAUACCAAGAUCAAGAAGGUGGUUCACCCAGGGCGAGGCUGAGCCAUUGCACUUCAGCUGUGCUGACCCCUGUGAAUUCCCCAAAUGUGGGAAUCUCGACUGCAUAAUUUAUGGUAGUGGGGGACUGCGUCCAUGCUCUCCCCUG